CUGCGCAUAGUCAAGCAGUGGUAGUGCAGCUAACUAUUUUCAAUGCAAAUGCUGCGCGCUUCUUUUCCCCUUCUAUUCCCAUACAAAUUUGAAUUUGACCGUUGGAAAAAUCGAACAAAACUCAACGAUCGUCAAAGACGGUUGUCUUCAUUCAACUUUGCGCUAUGUUCGUGAUCAUGUCGUGGUAUUUUUUUCAUUUUUCUCUAUUUUAAUCUUUGUUUUUUGCAGUAAAUUUUGGAACAAAGAAACUAAUCGAUUCAAGAUUAUCUUUGUUCAAAGUUAUUAUGGUCUAAGAUCAAAAAUUGGCUCCGAAAUCAAUGAAGAUCGUUUGGUUCGGUCAUCAUGUAAUCAUGAUACAAGUUGGCGAACAAAUCCCAUUUUCGAUGACUUUCAAAUUUUUCUUUUUCAGAGUCCAUUAUAUCUAAUGUAUGAUAAUUGGAAUCCAGAUUAAUAUAUGUGAAAACAUGGUCAAUGAGCAUGAAAUUUUCAUUGAUGAUCAAUGAUCAUUAGACAUAUAAUUGGUGCCGUCUUUAGAAAAACGAUCAUGGUAAUGAUGCCGAACAUUACAAAUUUAUUGGUGGAUAUCUGGUCACUAAUAUGGUACAAUGUCCAAUGAAACAUCAUGUUCACCAUCAGGCCUACAUUGGAUUGAAUUGUCGGAACAACUUAUUCGGUUCGUUCCUGAAAUUUUACAAUCAUCAAAUUGAAAUUCGAUUGAUGAUUAUGUUCGAGAUCAAUUCGGCGGUUCCAUUGUUCAUCAGCAUCCAAUUCAAGAAUAGUUUGACCAUGUUCAACACAUGAUAACAGGUUAGGCUAGGGUUAGAUUAGGCUUAGGAACACGGUCUGAGCUAUUUCCUAUUGAAUUGAAUGCUGAUUGAAUCUUUGGAAUCAAUGAAGCGAUCGAAAACAUGAUUAUAAGUCGAAGAUUCACGGGAUGGAACGCAUACUUGAAAAUAAUUAUGGAUUGCCGGCGAACAAUUGGGAAAUUGAAUCUCGAACCACGGAUAGAAUUUGGACAUUGUCUUGGAACAUGGACCGCGAACAUUGGAUCUAUUUCAAACGGGACAAUUAACGUUGUAUGGCGCAAUUGGGAUGUGAAAUAUGGAUGUAUUUUAUUAUUUCUAAUAUUUUAAUAAAUUAAUAUUUCAAUAAAAUCAAUUAAAUUUCAA